rnacentral:rRNA from 1 species
CCAAGAGCGAACGGCGGAUGCCUUGGCUUCCGAGAUCGAUGAAGGACGUGGUAAGCUGCGAAAAGUCGCGGGUAUUUGCAAACAAGACUUGAUCCGCGAAUCUCCGAAUGGGGCAACCCGUCAGGCUGAAGGCCUGUCACCGGCGCAUAUGCCGGGGUUUACGCAGGGAACUGAAACAUCUUAGUACCUGCAGGAAAAGAAAGAAAUUCUCGAUUCCCUUAGUAGUGGCGAGCGAAGAGGGAAUAGCCCAAACCGCUGAGCUUCCGGGCUCGGCGGGGUUGUAGGAGCACUUAUUAUAUUCACAGCAAACGAACCGGAACACAUCUGGAAAGUGUGACCGUAGCGGGUGAUAGUCCCUUACGGGCAAGUUUGUUAUGGAUGAAGUGCCACCUGAGUAGGUCGGGACACGUGAAAUCCUGUCCGAAUCUGCGGCGACCAUACCGCAAGGCUAAAUACAAUCGGAAGACCGAUAGUGUACCAGUACCGUGAGGGAAAGGUGGGAAGCACCCCGAACAGGGGAGUGAAACAGAACCUGAAACCGUUCGUUUACAAGCGGUCGGAGCUGCCGAAAGGCGGCGACGGCGUGCCUUUUGCAUAAUGAGCCUACGAGUUGGUUGUGUCCGGCGAGGUUAAGCUGUUCAGCAGCGUGAGCCGUAGCGGAAGCGAGUCUUAAAUGGGCGCUUAGUCGGAUGCAUCAGACGCGAAACCUAGUGAUCUACCCAUGUCCAGGGUGAAGGCGCCGUAACAGGCGCUGGAGGCCCGAACCAUUAUCCGUUGAAAAGGGUUUGGAUGAGGUGUGGGUAGGAGUGAAAGGCCAAUCAAACUGGGAGAUAGCUCGUACUCCCCGAAAUGUCUUUAGGGACAGCCUCUGUAUAUUUAUCCUGUGUGAGGUAGAGCUACUGACAGGGAAAGAGGGCUUCAUCGCCUAUCGAUCUCUCCCAAACUCCGAAUGCGCACAGGUUAUUGACAGGGAGUGAGUCGUCGGGUGCUAAUAUCCGUCGGCGAAAGGGUAAGAGCCCAGCCCUACAGCUAAGGCCCCCAAGCGCAGUUUAAGUUGAUAUAUAACGAAGUGACACCGCCUUGACAGCCAGGAUGUUAGCUUGGAAGCAGCUAUUCAUUCAAAGAGUGCGUAACAGCUCACUGGUCGAGUGGUGUUGCAUGGAUGAUAAUCGGGCAUGAAGACUGCCGCCGAAGCUUAGGACUCGAUAUUUAUGAUAUCGAGUGGUAGGGGAGCAUUCUGCUCAGCGUCGAAGGUAUGCCGCGAGGCAUUCUGGAGCGUGCAGAAGAGAAAAUGUAGGCAUAAGUAACGAUAAUGGGGGUCAUAAACCCCCACACCGAAAGCCUAAGGUUUCCUGAGCAACGUUAAACGGCUCAGGGUCAGUCGGGUGCUAAGCGGUAGCCGAUAGGCGUACGCGAUGCUUAACCGGUUAAUAUUCCGGUACCGGCUCUACGGGUGCAAUCGAGACCGAGUAGUGACACUGCCGCGAACUGACGGAACAGUUCGUUGAAGGGCAAAGCGCGAGCGAAGCCCGACAGUACCGCAACGCUUCGGCCGAGCGGACAGUGCAGGUAAUCAGACUUGCGAGAAAAUCGGUUGCGCGUCAAGAGUAGCGCCGCCCGUACCUUAAACCGACACAGGUAGGCGAGGAGAGAAUCCUCAGGUGCUCGAGUGAAUCAUGGCUAAGGAACUCGGCAAACUGACCCCGUAACUUCGGGAUAAGGGGUCCCACGGCGACGUGGGCGCAGCGAAACGGCCCAGGCGACUGUUUAUCAAAAACACAUGGCUACGCUAAAUCGCAAGAUGACAUAUGUGGCCUGACACCUGCCCGGUGACGGAAGGUUAAGAGGGGGGCUUAGCACGCCAGCAAUGAUGUGCGAAGGUCUGAAUCGAAGCCCCGUUAAACGGCGGCCGUAACUAUAACGGUCCUAAGGUAGCGAAAUUCCUUGUCGGGUAAGUUCCGACCUGCACGAAUGGUGUAACGAUCUGGGCGCUGUCUCAGCCAUGAGCUCGGUGAAAUUGUAGUGACGGUGAAGAUGCCGUCUCCCCGCAACGGGACGAGAAGACCCCGUGAACCUUUACUAUAGCUUAGCGCUGUUUUUGGACGUGUGAUGUGUAGGAUAGGUGGGACCCUUUGAAGAGUGUACGCCAGUAUGCUUGGAGGGGCACGUUGAAAUACCACCCUUUGCACGUUCGGGGACUAACUUCGCAGGAAGGACACUGCUUGGUGGGUAGUUUGACUGGGGUGGUCGCCUCCAAAAGAAUAACGGAGGCUUCCCAAGGUUCGCUCAGCGCGGAUGGCAAUCGCGCCGAGAGUGCAUUGGCAUAAGCGAGCUUGACUGUGAGACCAACAAGUCGACCAGGUACGAAAGUAGGGCAAAGUGAUCCGGCGGACGCUCAUGGGAGCUCCGUCGCUCAUAGGAUAAAAGGUACUCCGGGGAUAACAGGCUGAUCGCUCCCAAGAGCUCAAAUCGACGGAGCGGUUUGGCACCUCGAUGUCGGCUCGUCACAUCCUGGGGCUGGAGCAGGUCCCAAGGGUUCGGCUGUUCGCCGAUUAAAGUGGCACGCGAGCUGGGUUCAGAACGUCGUGAGACAGUUCGGUCUCUAUCUGUUGUGGGCGCAGGAAGUUUGAGGAGGGCUGACCCUAGUACGAGAGGACCGGGUCGGACGAACCUCUGGUAUACCGGUUGCGGCGCCAGCUGCACCGCCGGGUAUCCACGUUCGUUUAGGAUAAGCGCUGAAAGCAUCUAAGCGCGAAGCCGUCUUCGAGAUGAGACUUCCUUUGAGGGCCGUGGGAGACUACCACGUUGAUAGGCAGGAGAUGUAAGGACGGCAACGUUCUCAGUCGACCUGUACUAAUCGCCCGAAAUCUUUGAUUUC